AUAAAAACACUAAGAGUCUCUCCAGGCCUGACACCUCAGCUUUUUAAGCUAUUCUCAGGUUGACACCUCAUUAAAAUCAUCGUCCAAUGAAAACAUUUCAGUUAAUACAACUCAACAUUUAUCAGCCAGUAAAAUUUUUUUUUAAAAAAAUUGUUGCAAAAAGUAUAAAUGGCCGAAGCCUAAUUAAAUAGUUUGACAGCCCAUAUUGGUUAGCUGUUUACAUAGAAAAUUAGAAAUCUUAUUGAACCCAUAAUUAAAAGUCCAUUUAGGUAAGUAUCUCAAAUCGUAGAAAAUAAAUCGGUGAAAAAAUUACUGUCGUUCAUUGAAGAGAAAACCAAAGCUGCAUAAUCUUACUCACCAAACCCGAAUUGGAUCGAGAAACCGAUAUCCUGUUUUGAUUGUUGAUCUCAUGAUUCUGGAGAUCGAAUUCGUAAAACUAUCCAACGAUGUUUGAUCCAACAUAGCACCGUAGUCCACCAACGGAGCGUGAUGGUGGAAUCGUGGCUAGAUCGGUUUAAGGACAAAGUGGUGGUGGUGUGAGUGAGUAAGCUAAAGUGAAGAAGAUUGUGUUUGAGAUAAAAUUGGAGUAUUUUUAUGCUUCUGUUGAGUUUAAGAUUAUGAAGGAGUUGAAGAGUUUUACUGAUUUGGGUUUGAAAGAAGCUAAAGCAUUGGUGGAGAAGACUCCUCCGAUUUUGAAAGCUUGAUUGUCUAAAGAAGAAGGUGAGAAGAUCGUUGAGAAGUUGAAAGCAUUUGGUGCUAAAGUUGUUUUUGGAGUAGAAUCAUCAAUUUGUUUUAACGUUUGUGUUACUUUAAAAGCUUCCAUUUUUUUUUUUGUUCCAUCUAUGAGCUCAUGAUACAAGCUAAUUAAGGAGUUUCUUAAAGUCAUAGAUUACACUUGCUCUAUAUUUGGUUUGAGAGAUGAAAAAAGGAUAUGAUGAAUUUAUUCAAUAGAAAUCAUUUUUUUCCU